rnacentral:rRNA from 1 species
UCCCAUGCCGAACACAGAAGUUAAGCUUCUUAGCGCCGAUAGUAGUUGGGGGUUUCCCCCUGUGAGGGUAGGACGUCGCCA